CCGCACAAGCGGUGGAGCAUGUGGUUCAAUUCGACGCAACGCGAAGACCCUUACCUGGGCUCGAAAUGCAGGAGACCGGGGUAGAAAUAUCCUUUUCUCGCAAGAGACUGCUGUAUAGGUGCUGCAUGGCUGUCGUCAGCUCGUGUCGUGAGAUGUUGGGUUAAGUCCCGCAACGAGCGCAACCCUCAUCCCUAGUUGCCAUCGGGUCAAGCCGGGCACUCUAGUGAAACCGCCCCGGAUAACGGGGAGGAAGGUGGGGAUGACGUCAAGUCCUCAUGGCCUUUAUGUCCAGGGCUACACACGUGCUACAAUGGUCGGUACAAACCGUCGCAAACCUGCAAAGGGGAGCUAAUCGGAAAAAGCCGGCCUCAGUUCGGAUUGGAGUCUGCAACUCGACUCCAUGAAGCUGGAAUCGCUAGUAAUCGCAGAUCAGAACGCUGCGGUGAAUACGUUCCCGGGCCUUGUACAC
rnacentral:rRNA from 1 species